CCUACGGGAGGCAGCAGUGAGGAAUAUUGGUCAAUGGGCGCAAGCCUGAACCAGCCAAGUAGCGUGAGGGAUGACUGCCCUACGGGUUGUAAACUUCUUUUAUAAAGGAAUAAAGUGAGGCACGUGUGCCUUUUUGUAUGUACUUUAUGAAUAAGGAUCGGCUAACUCCGUGCCAGCAGCCGCGGUAAUACGGAGGAUCCGAGCGUUAUCCGGAUUGAUUGGGUUUAAAGGGAGCGUAGAUGGGUUGUUAAGUCAGUUGUGAAAGUUUGCGGCUCAACCGUAAAAUUGCAAUUGAUACUGGCAGCCUUGAGUACAGUAGAGGCAGGCGGAAUUCGUGGUGUAGCGGUGAAAUGCUUAGAUAUCACGAAGAACCCCGAUUGCGAAGGCAGCCUACUAAUCUGCCACUGACACUGAUGCUCGAAAGCGUGGGGAUCAAACAGGAUUAGAUACCCUGGUAGUC
rnacentral:rRNA from 1 species